rnacentral:rRNA from 1 species
GACGAACGCUGGCGGCGUGCUUAACACAUGCAAGUCGAACGAAGUGGAGAACGGGUGAGUAAUACGUGGGUAACCUGCCCUCCUUUUUGGGAUAAGCCUUGGAAACGGGGUCUAAUACCGAAUCAAGGGGGAUGGGCUCGCGGCCUAUCAGCUGGUGGGUGGGGUGGUGGGCUACCAAGGCGGUGACGGGUAGCCGGGCUGAGAGGGGGACCGGCGACAGUGGGACUGAGAUGAGGCCCAGAGUACGAAGGGAGGGAGAAGUGGGGGAUAUUGCAGAAUGGGCGAAAGACUGAUGCAGCGAGGCCGCGUGGGGGUUGAAGGCUGUCGGGUUGUAAACUUCGUUAGCUACAGAAAGGGUAGGUAGAGAAGAAGCGACGGCUAACUACGUGCCAGCCGCCGCGGUAAUUC